AUUGAACGCUGGCGGCAUGCUUUACACAUGCAAGUCGAACGGUAACAGGUCUUCGGAUGCUGACGAGUGGCGAACGGGUGAGUAAUACAUCGGAACGUGCCUAGUAGUGGGGGAUAACUACUCGAAAGAGUGGCUAAUACCGCAUGAGAUCUACGGAUGAAAGCAGGGGAUCGCAAGACCUUGUGCUACUAGAGCGGCCGAUGGCAGAUUAGGUAGUUGGUGGGAUAAAAGCUUACCAAGCCGACGAUCUGUAGCUGGUCUGAGAGGACGAUCAGCCACACUUGGACUGAGACACGGCCCAGGCUCCUACGGGAGGCAGCAGUGGGGAAUUUUGGACAAUGGGCGCAAGCCUGAUCCAGCAAUGCCGCGUGCAGGAUGAAGGCCUUCGGGUUGUAAACUGCUUUUGUACGGAACGAAAAGCCCUGGGUUAAUACCCUGGGGUCAUGACGGUACCGUAAGAAUAAGCACCGGCUAACUACGUGCCAGCCGCCGCGGUAAUAC
rnacentral:rRNA from 1 species